rnacentral:rRNA from 1 species
AUUGAACGCUGGCGGCAGGCCUAACACAUGCAAGUCGAACGAGUGGCGGACGGGUGAGUAAUGUCUGGGAAACUGCCCGAUGGAGGGGGAUAACUACUGGAAACGGUAGCUAAUACCGCAUACCAUCGGAUUUGCCCAGAUGGGAUUGGCUUGUAGGUGAGGUAACGGCUCACCUAGGCGACGAUCCCUAGCUGGUCUGAGAGGAUGACCAGCGAGCAUGGAACUGAUACACGGGGCAGACUCCUACGGUAGGCAGCAGUGGGGAAUAUUGCACAAGGGUCGGAAGCCUGAUGCAUCCAGACCGCGUUUAUGAAGAAGGCCGUCGGGUUGUAAAGUACUUUCAGCGGGGAGGCGUUACCCGCAGAAGAAGCACCGGCUAACUCCGUGCCAGCAGCCGCGGUAAUAC